rnacentral:rRNA from 1 species
AAUGAACGCUGGCGGCGUGCCUAAUACAUGCAAGUCGAGCGAACACACCAGGCUUUUCCUCCUCUGACUUUGGAAGCGGACGGAAGAGUCACUCGUGGGUGACAUACCUCUAAGACUGGGAUAACAACAGCGCACCGGAGCUUCUAGCGGAUAAUAUAUUGCACCACAAGGUUCCAUAGUGAGAGACGGUUUUUCUGUCACUUAUAGCUGGAUACGCCCCGCAUUAGCUAGUUGGUAAGGUAACUGCUUACCAAGGCGACGAUGCGUAGCCGACCUGAGCGCGUGAUCGGCCACACGGGAACAGAGAAACGGUCCAGACUCCUACGGUAGGCAGCAGUAGGGAAUCUUCCGCGAGGGGGGAAAGCCGGACGGUGGAACGCCGCGUGAGGGAUGAAGGUCUUCGGAUCGUAAAACGCUGUUAUUAGGGAAGAACAAAUGUGUAAGUAACGAUGCACGUCUUGACGGUACCCAAUCAGAAAGCCACGGCUAACUACGUG